rnacentral:misc_RNA from 1 species
AACGCACCUUGCGCUCCUUGGUAUUCCGAGGAGCAUGCCUGUUUGAGUGUCAUUAAAUUCUCAACCCUUAACUUCUUUUUGAAGUUCUGGGCUUGGACUGUGGAGGUUUGCCGGUGAAAAUUGGCUCCUCUGAAAUACAUUAGCGGAACAGUUUGCGAUCUGCCACAAGUGUGAUAAUUAUCUACACUGGCUAGGGGGAUUGCUCUCAUCGAGUUCAGCUUCUAAUCGUCUUCGGACAAACUUAAUGAAUACUUGACCUCAAAUCAGGUAGGACUACCCGCUGAACUUAA